UUAAGCGACUAAGCGUACACGGUGGAUGCCCUGGCAGUCAGAGGCGAUGAAGGACGUGCUAAUCUGCGAUAAGCGUCGGUAAGGUGAUAUGAACCGUUAUAACCGGCGAUUUCCGAAUGGGGAAACCCAGUGUGUUUCGACACACUAUCAUUAACUGAAUCCAUAGGUUAAUGAGGCGAACCGGGGGAACUGAAACAUCUAAGUACCCCGAGGAAAAGAAAUCAACCGAGAUUCCCCCAGUAGCGGCGAGCGAACGGGGAGCAGCCCAGAGCCUGAAUCAGUGUGUGUGUUAGUGGAAGCGUCUGGAAAGGCGCGCGAUACAGGGUGACAGCCCCGUACACAAAAAUGCACAUGCUGUGAGCUCGAUGAGUAGGGCGGGACACGUGGUAUCCUGUCUGAAUAUGGGGGGACCAUCCUCCAAGGCUAAAUACUCCUGACUGACCGAUAGUGAACCAGUACCGUGAGGGAAAGGCGAAAAGAACCCCGGCGAGGGGAGUGAAAAAGAACCUGAAACCGUGUACGUACAAGCAGUGGGAGCACGCUUAGGCGUGUGACUGCGUACCUUUUGUAUAAUGGGUCAGCGACUUAUAUUCUGUAGCAAGGUUAACCGAAUAGGGGAGCCGAAGGGAAACCGAGUCUUAACUGGGCGUUAAGUUGCAGGGUAUAGACCCGAAACCCGGUGAUCUAGCCAUGGGCAGGUUGAAGGUUGGGUAACACUAACUGGAGGACCGAACCGACUAAUGUUGAAAAAUUAGCGGAUGACUUGUGGCUGGGGGUGAAAGGCCAAUCAAACCGGGAGAUAGCUGGUUCUCCCCGAAAGCUAUUUAGGUAGCGCCUCGUGAAUUCAUCUCCGGGGGUAGAGCACUGUUUCGGCAAGGGGGUCAUCCCGACUUACCAACCCGAUGCAAACUGCGAAUACCGGAGAAUGUUAUCACGGGAGACACACGGCGGGUGCUAACGUCCGUCGUGAAGAGGGAAACAACCCAGACCGCCAGCUAAGGUCCCAAAGUCAUGGUUAAGUGGGAAACGAUGUGGGAAGGCCCAGACAGCCAGGAUGUUGGCUUAGAAGCAGCCAUCAUUUAAAGAAAGCGUAAUAGCUCACUGGUCGAGUCGGCCUGCGCGGAAGAUGUAACGGGGCUAAACCAUGCACCGAAGCUGCGGCAGCGACGCUUAUGCGUUGUUGGGUAGGGGAGCGUUCUGUAAGCCUGCGAAGGUGUGCUGUGAGGCAUGCUGGAGGUAUCAGAAGUGCGAAUGCUGACAUAAGUAACGAUAAAGCGGGUGAAAAGCCCGCUCGCCGGAAGACCAAGGGUUCCUGUCCAACGUUAAUCGGGGCAGGGUGAGUCGACCCCUAAGGCGAGGCCGAAAGGCGUAGUCGAUGGGAAACAGGUUAAUAUUCCUGUACUUGGUGUUACUGCGAAGGGGGGACGGAGAAGGCUAUGUUGGCCGGGCGACGGUUGUCCCGGUUUAAGCGUGUAGGCUGGUUUUCCAGGCAAAUCCGGAAAAUCAAGGCUGAGGCGUGAUGACGAGGCACUACGGUGCUGAAGCAACAAAUGCCCUGCUUCCAGGAAAAGCCUCUAAGCAUCAGGUAACAUCAAAUCGUACCCCAAACCGACACAGGUGGUCAGGUAGAGAAUACCAAGGCGCUUGAGAGAACUCGGGUGAAGGAACUAGGCAAAAUGGUGCCGUAACUUCGGGAGAAGGCACGCUGAUAUGUAGGUGAAGCGACUUGCUCGUGGAGCUGAAAUCAGUCGAAGAUACCAGCUGGCUGCAACUGUUUAUUAAAAACACAGCACUGUGCAAACACGAAAGUGGACGUAUACGGUGUGACGCCUGCCCGGUGCCGGAAGGUUAAUUGAUGGGGUCAGCGCAAGCGAAGCUCUUGAUCGAAGCCCCGGUAAACGGCGGCCGUAACUAUAACGGUCCUAAGGUAGCGAAAUUCCUUGUCGGGUAAGUUCCGACCUGCACGAAUGGCGUAAUGAUGGCCAGGCUGUCUCCACCCGAGACUCAGUGAAAUUGAACUCGCUGUGAAGAUGCAGUGUACCCGCGGCAAGACGGAAAGACCCCGUGAACCUUUACUAUAGCUUGACACUGAACAUUGAGCCUUGAUGUGUAGGAUAGGUGGGAGGCUUUGAAGUGUGGACGCCAGUCUGCAUGGAGCCGACCUUGAAAUACCACCCUUUAAUGUUUGAUGUUCUAACGUUGACCCGUAAUCCGGGUUGCGGACAGUGUCUGGUGGGUAGUUUGACUGGGGCGGUCUCCUCCUAAAGAGUAACGGAGGAGCACGAAGGUUGGCUAAUCCUGGUCGGACAUCAGGAGGUUAGUGCAAUGGCAUAAGCCAGCUUGACUGCGAGCGUGACGGCGCGAGCAGGUGCGAAAGCAGGUCAUAGUGAUCCGGUGGUUCUGAAUGGAAGGGCCAUCGCUCAACGGAUAAAAGGUACUCCGGGGAUAACAGGCUGAUACCGCCCAAGAGUUCAUAUCGACGGCGGUGUUUGGCACCUCGAUGUCGGCUCAUCACAUCCUGGGGCUGAAGUAGGUCCCAAGGGUAUGGCUGUUCGCCAUUUAAAGUGGUACGCGAGCUGGGUUUAGAACGUCGUGAGACAGUUCGGUCCCUAUCUGCCGUGGGCGCUGGAGAACUGAGGGGGGCUGCUCCUAGUACGAGAGGACCGGAGUGGACGCAUCACUGGUGUUCGGGUUGUCAUGCCAAUGGCACUGCCCGGUAGCUAAAUGCGGAAGAGAUAAGUGCUGAAAGCAUCUAAGCACGAAACUUGCCCCGAGAUGAGUUCUCCCUGACUCCUUGAGAGUCCUGAAGGAACGUUGAAGACGACGACGUUGAUAGGCCGGGUGUGUAAGCGCAGCGAUGCGUUGAGCUAACCGGUACUAAUGAACCGUGAGGCUUAACCU
rnacentral:rRNA from 1 species